CAAGCUCUCACUAGGCAUACUAGAAACUUAAAGGCAGGUGUGUUGAGGAAAGUUGGAGCUAAACUCUGCAGGACACUGGCCCCCAGGACCGAGUUUGGGCACCCCUGGUCUAAUGUUUGGAUAAGAAUUCUCAUGCAGAUUUUACCAGGCUGUCGAAUAAAUAAAGUGGGUUAAAACUGAAGGAGGUGCACAUCGUCAAAGGGGAGGGUAAGUCGAGUUGCGGUUCCUCCACAGCGAGAGAGAGAGCGAGCGUGAAGCAAAUUCCCACGGAAGAGUUUCCCAAACUUCUUUCAGUCUCCGGCAAUAAUAUGGACAGACUUGAAUGGAAACAUGCAUAUCCGGCUCCACUUCAUUUAUGGCACAGAAGAUGACACGGUUGUUUCUGAAAUGACAGCUCGUUAGUUCUUUCCAUAAGUGAAAUCAACAUGGGAAAACUGCAAUCGAAACCUGCCUGUAAACGGAGAGAGAAUCCAGAGGGAGAUGUUUUCAAGGAGGCUGACUGUACUGGUGAAGUGAACAGAAACAAGCAGUGGAGCCUGGAGCCUUCAUCACUGUGUGAAAUACAUAUGGCCGGCAGCCAGAACAGCAGGGUCUUUGAGCGCAGCCCCACCACACAUCUGUUAUUGGUUUUGAAAACAGAGGGAGGCUGUGAUGGGAAAAGGGGGGGGGGGGGGGGGGGGGGGGAUUUUUGUGUUUGUGUAGGCCGUUUGUUUUUAACAUUUUAAAGACAUAUAGACCCACCUACUUGGAGUAGCUUGAUGAAGACCAUAUAUCACUAAAGAUGUAUAAAAGAAAAGAGCAGGGUUUAAAAUGCUUUAAAUGGUUUGAUAAAUUUUCCUUAAAGAAUGGCACAUUAGGGUGAUAAAGGCAAUAAACAAGUUGUGAUAUUGCAAAAAAUGUAACAUUAUUUGCUAGUAGUUUUUGAAGUUCAGUUGGUUGAGCAUGGUGCUAGCAACACAAUGAUCAUGGGUUUGAUCCCAGAGAACAAGCAUACUGGCAACCUGUUCAUAUUUGUUAGUAAUCACAGAUGAUGAAACUAUAGACAUCGGUCCGGGUAGUGUCAUGUUUAAUUUGACAAUUAAUGAAACCAAC
rnacentral:lncRNA from 1 species